ensembl:rRNA 5S_rRNA 5S ribosomal RNA
GUCUAUGGCCAUGCCACUUUUUAUACAGUCUACGGCCUGAUCCCAUCUGACCUUGAAAGCUAAGCAGGGUCAGGCCUGGUUAGUAAUUGGAUGGGAGACCACCUAGGGAGACUAGGUGCUGUAGGCA